GGCCAGGACCAUGUGAGGCGUUCCUGGAAUGCUCCUGACUGGGAUGAUGGUGGGUCUGAAAGCAGCACAAGCACUUCAGAGGGGAAACUUCCCAAGCAAGUGUAUGUUGCUCUCCAGGAAAAAAAUGUAUUCAGCUGACUUGAAGCUAAUCAGCAGUGUUUUGAAGGACUUCCCCAGCCUAAGGUUUUGCUGUCUGGCAGAAACCAGUCCAUCCCUCAGCCUCUGCCAGUGCCAUCUCUGUGGGAUCUCCACGGUGGCACUGCUUUUUCCUGUGAUGUUCACAGGAACAGGAGGAAACACAACACAGAAACCAGCGCAUGAUAAGUCAAGAGCAAGAAAAUCAGUCGUGCUAUCCUGAUGAGGAAAAGAUGGAAGAUCUCACUAGGAACAAAAAUAUCAAAUGCAUAAACACCAAAGCCUGCUGAGAGUCAGCCCUCUGCUUAUACCCUGACCUUACUAAAGUAAAGACAGUGAAAAUUUCUCCAUUGAUUAAAAUGUCAGUAUAAACCCUUUCCAUCCUGAAGUGACCCAUUUGCAUUGCAAUAGCAGAGAUAAAUCUGAAACAGUGAAGUUGUGUAUUGAUGAAAGUCAGGGAAGCUAUGUUCUAGCUGUCAGCUGAUGACUGCGGGGUGCACGUGGCAGCAGGACAUAUCUGGUCCAUUUUGGGUGACAUACACUUUACUGAGCAAGAUCUGAACAGCUCACAACUGAGAAGCUAAACCAGUUCAAGAUGUUGAUUUAUGCCCACAAUAAAACAAAGGUAACCAACA
rnacentral:lncRNA from 1 species